rnacentral:misc_RNA from 1 species
CAACCCUCAAGAUCCCUUCGGGGGACUUGGUGUUGGGGACCGGCACAGGGCCUGCUUGCUUGUCUCGCAGCGCCUCGCCGCCUCCGAAAUGAAUUGGCGGCCUCGUCGCGGCCUCCUCUGCGUAGUAGCACAACCUCGCAACGGGAGCGUGACGCGGCCACUGCCGUAAAACAACCCAAUUUUAUUAGAG